UCAGGAAUAUUGCGCAAUGGAGGAAACUCUGACGCAGCGACGCCGCGUGGGUGAUGAAGGCCUUCGGGUCGUAAAGCCCUGUCGGAAGGGAAGAAAAGUCUGCUGGCUAAUAUCCAGCGGACCUUUGACGGUACCUUUAAAGGAAGCACCGGCUAACUCCGUGCCAGCAGCCGCGGUAAGACGGAGGGUGCAAGCGUUGUUCGGAUUGACUGGGCGUAAAGGGCGUGUAGGCGGUUUGUCAAGUCGGGUGUGAAAGCCUGGGGCUCAGCCUCAGAAGUGCAUCCGAAACUAGCGAGCUAGAGCGCGAUAGAGGAGGGUGGAAUUCCUGGUGUAGCGGUGAAAUGCGUAGAUAUCAGGAGGAACACCGGCGGCGAAGGCGGCCCUCUGGAUCGUUGCUGACGCUGAGACGCGAAAGCGUGGGGAGCAAACAGGAUUAGAUACCCCUGUAGUCC
rnacentral:rRNA from 1 species